rnacentral:tRNA from 1 species
GAGGAAUGGCAGAGUGGUCGAAUGCGGCGGUCUUGAAAACCGUUGACCCAAAAGGUCCGUGGGUUCGAAUCCUACUUCCUCC